CAAUAGCGUAUAUUAAAGCUGUUGCAAGUUAAAAGCUCGUAGUUGGAUCUCGGGUCCAGACUAGCGGUUCACCUCGCGGUGAUUACUGCCCGUUCUGACCUACCUACCGGUUGUCCCUUGGUGCUCUUGACUGAGUGUCUCGGGGUGGCCCGGAACGUUUACUUUGAAAAAAUUAGAGUGUUCAAAAAGCAGGCAGUAACGCCUGAAUAAUGGUGCAUGGAAUAAUGGAAUAGGACCUCGGUUCUAUUUUGUUGGUUUUCGGAACUUGAGGUAAUGAUAAAGAGGGACAGACGGGGGCAUUCGUAUUACGGGUGUUAGAGGUGAAAAUUCUUGGAUCGCCGUAAAGACGAACUACUGCGAAAAGCAUUUGCCAAGCAUGUUUUCCUUAAUCAAGAACGAAAGUCAGAGGUUCGAA
rnacentral:rRNA from 1 species